GAUGAACGCUGGCGGCGUGCCUAAUACAUGCAAGUCGAGCGAACAGACGAGGAGCUUGCUCCUCUGACGUUAGCGGCGGACGGGUGAGUAACACGUGGAUAACCUACCUAUAAGACUGGGAUAACUUCGGGAAACCGGAGCUAAUACCGGAUAAUAUAUUGAACCGCAUGGUUCAAUAGUGAAAGACGGUUUUGCUGUCACUUAUAGAUGGAUCCGCGCCGCAUUAGCUAGUUGGUAAGGUAACGGCUUACCAAGGCAACGAUGCGUAGCCGACCUGAGAGGGGGAUCGGCCACACUGGAACUGAGACACGGUCCAGACUCCUAGGGGAGGCAGCAGUAGGGAAUCUUCCGCAAUGGGCGAAAGCCUGACGGAGCAACGCCGCGUGAGUGAUGAAGGUCUUCGGAUCGUAAAACUCUGUUAUUAGGGAAGAACAAAUGUGUAAGUAACUAUGCACGUCUUGACGGUACCUAAUCAGAAAGCCACGGCUAACUACGU
rnacentral:rRNA from 1 species